rnacentral:ncRNA from 1 species
GGGAUCCUGCUCGGUUCGAGAGGAGCGGCAGGUUCGGACCUCCGGUGUCUGGGCUUGGCCAAAGAGCCAAUGGUGCGAAGCUCCCAUCUGUGGGAUUGUGACCGAACUCCUCUGAGUCAGAAUCCCCUC